rnacentral:rRNA from 1 species
UCCCAAAACAACCAGGAGGUUGGCUUAGAAGCAGCCAUCCUUUAAAGAAAGCGUAAUAGCUCACUGGUCGAGUCGGCCCGCGCGGAAGAUGUAACGGGGCUAAGCGAUAUACCGAAGCUGCGGAUGCAUGUUUACAUGCAUGGUAGGGGAGCGUUCUGUACGUCUGUGAAGGUGAGUCGUAAGGCUUGCUGGAGAUAUCAGAAGUGCGAAUGCUGACAUGAGUAACGAUAAAG